rnacentral:rRNA from 1 species
GACGAACGCUGGCGGCGUGCUUAACACAUGCAAGUCGAACGGAAAGGCCCUGCUUUUGUGGGGUGCUCGAGUGGCGAACGGGUGAGUAACACGUGAGUAACCUGCCCUUGACUUUGGGAUAACUUCAGGAAACUGGGGCUAAUACCGGAUAGGAGCUCCUGCUGCAUGGUGGGGGUUGGAAAGUUUCGGCGGUUGGGGAUGGACUCGCGGCUUAUCAGCUUGUUGGUGGGGUAGUGGCUUACCAAGGCUUUGACGGGUAGCCGGCCUGAGAGGGUGACCGGCGACAUUGGGACUGCGAUAGGGCCCAGACUCCUACGGGAGGCAGCAGUGGGGAAUAUUGCGCAAUGGGCGGACGCCUGAUGCAGCAGCGCCGCGUGCGGGAUGACGGCCUUCGGGUUGUAAACCGCUUUCGCCUGUGACGAAGCGUGAGUGACGGUAAUGGGUAAAGAAGCACCGGCUAACUACGUG